rnacentral:rRNA from 1 species
GACGAACGCUGGCGGCGUGCUUAACACAUGCAAGUCGAACGGAAAGGCCCUGCUUGCAGGGUACUCGAGUGGCGAACGGGUGAGUUACACGUGGGUGAUCUGCCCUGCACUUCGGGAUAAGCCUGGGAAACUGGGUCUAAUACCGGAUAGGUGCCAUUUUUAGUGUGAUGGUUGGAAAGUUUUUUCGGUGUAGGAUGAGCUCGCGGCCUAUCAGCUUGUUGGUGGGGUAAUGGCCUACCAAGGCGGCGACGGGUAGCCGGCCUGAGAGGGUGGACGGCCACAUUGGGACUGAGGGACGGCCCAGACUCCUACGGGAGGCAGCAGUGGGGAAUAUUGCACAAGGGGCGCAAGCCUGAUGCAGCGACGCCGCGUGGGGGAUGACGGCCUUCGGGUUGUAAACUCCGUUCGCUAGGGACGAAGCUUUUUGUGACGGUACCUAGAUAAGAAGCACCGGCUAACUACGUG